GGUUGUGUAGUGUAGUGGUCAUCACUCCGGAUUUUGAUCUGCAUCAAAAUCGUUACACCUUUCCGGCGACCCCGGUUCGAACCCGGGCACGACCU